GAUGAACGCUGGCGGCGUGCCUAAUACAUGCAAGUCGAGCGAACAGACGAGGAGCUUGCUCCUCUGACGUUAGCGGCGGACGGGUGAGUAACACGUGGAUAACCUACCUAUAAGACUGGGAUAACUUCGUGAAACCGGAGCUAAUACCGGAUAAUAUAUUGAACCGCAUGGUUCAAUAGUGAAAGACGGUUUUGCUGUCACUUAUAGAUGGAUCCGCGCCGCAUUAGCUAGUUGGUAAGGUAACGGCUUACCAAGGCAACGAUGCGUAGCCGACCUGAGAGGAUGAUCGGCCACACUGGAACUGAGACACGGUCCAGACUCCUACGGGAGGCAGCAGUAGGGAAUAUUCCGCAAUGGGCGAAAGCCUGACGGAGCAACGCCGCGUGAGUGAUGAAGGUCUUCGGAUCGUAAAACUCUGUUAUUAGGGAAGAACAAAUGUGUAAGUAACUAUGCACGUCUUGACGGUACCUAAUCAGAAAGCCACGGCUAACUACGUG
rnacentral:rRNA from 1 species